UACGAAGGGGGCUAGCGUUGCUCGGAAUCACUGGGCGUAAAGGGUGCGUAGGCGGGUUUUUAAGUCAGGGGUGAAAUCCUGGAGCUCAACUCCAGAACUGCCUUUGAUACUGAAGAUCUUGAGUCCGGGAGAGGUGAGUGGAACUGCGAGUGUAGAGGUGAAAUUCGUAGAUAUUCGCAAGAACACCAGUGGCGAAGGCGGCUCACUGGCCCGGUACUGACGCUGAGGCACGGAAAGCGUGGGGAGCAAACAGGG
rnacentral:rRNA from 1 species